UGGAGAAUGGCUGCAAACGCAGUGGUCAGAGCAUCUGCUUUGCAUGCAGAAGAUCCCAGGUUCAAUCCCCAAUGGCCUCUCCAG